rnacentral:rRNA from 1 species
UACGAAGGGUGCUAGCGUUGUUCGGAAUCACUGGGCGUAAAGCGCGCGUAGGCGGCUUCUCAAGUCAGGGGUGAAAUCCUUGGGCUCAACCCAAGAAUUGCCUUUGAAACUGUGAAGCUGGAGUACUGGAGGGGAUAGCGGAAUUCCUAAUGUAGAGGUGAAAUUCGUAGAUAUUAGGAGGAACACCGGUGGCGAAGGCGGCUAUCUGGACAGUAACUGACGCUGAGGCGCGAAAGCGCGGGGAUCAAACAGG